AGUAAAGUCAGCUAAAUAAGCUUUUGGGCCCAUACCCCAAACAUGUUGGUUAGAACCCUUCCUCUACUA
rnacentral:tRNA from 1 species